rnacentral:rRNA from 1 species
GGAUUCCCCUAGUAACGGCGAGUGAAGAGGGAAGAGCUCAAAUUUGAAAUCUGGCGGUCUCCGGCUGUCCGAGUUGUAGUCUAGAGAAGUGUUUUCCGUGCUGGACCGCGUACAAGUCUCCUAGAAUGGGGCAUCGUAGAGGGUGAGAAUCCCGUUCACGACGCGGACUACCAGUGCACUGUGAUGCGCUUUCAAAGAGUCGAGUUGUUUGGGAAUGCAGCUCAAAACGGGUGGUAAAUUCCAUCUAAAGCUAAAUACAGGCGAGAGACCGAUAGCGAACAAGUACCGUGAGGGAAAGAUGAAAAGCACUUUGGAAAGAGAGUUAAACAGUACGUGAAAUUGUUGAAAGGGAAACGCUUGGAGUCAGUCGCGUUCUCUGGGACUCAGCCAGGCUUCUGCCUGGUGCACUUCUCAGUUGAAUGGGCCAGCAUCGAUUUCAUUCGUCGGAUAAGGACUUGAGGAAUGUGGCAACUUUUUUUGUUGUGUUAUAGCCUCUUGUCGGAUACGACGGCCGGGAUCGAGGACCGCAGCUUUGUGCUUAGGAUGCUGGCGUAAUGGCUUUAAACGACCCGUCUUGAAACACGGACCAAGGAGUCUAACAUGCCUGCGAGUGUUUGGGUGUUAAACCCAGGCGCGUAAUGAAAGUGAAAGGUUGGGACCUCCUUCAAGAGGGCACCGACGCCCGAUCCAGACCUUCUGUGACGGAUUUGAGGCAGAGCAUGCAUGCUGGGACCCGAAAGAUGGUGAACUAUGCCUGAAUAGGGCGAAGCCAGAGGAAACUCUGGUGGAGGCUCGUAGCGAUUCUGACGUGCAAAUCGAUCGUCAAAUUUGGGUAUAGGGGCGAAAGACUAAUCGAACCAUCUAGUAGCUGG